rnacentral:rRNA from 1 species
AACGAACGCUGGCGGCAUGCCUAACACAUGCCAGUCGAACGAGACCUUCGGGUCUAGUGGCGCACGGGUGCGUAACGCGUGGGAACCUGCCCUUAGGUUCGGAAUAACUCCCCGAAAGGGGUGCUAAUACCGGAUAAUGUCUUCGGACCAAAGAUUUAUCGCCUUUGGAUGGGCCCGCGUUGGAUUAGCUAGUUGGUAGGGUAAAAGCCUACCAAGGCGACGAUCCAUAGCUGGUCUGAGAGGAUGAUCAGCCACACUGGGACUGAGACACGGCCCAGACUCCUACGGGAGGCAGCAGUGGGGAAUAUUGGACAAUGGGCGAAAGCCUGAUCCAGCAAUGCCGCGUUAGUGAUGAAGGCCUUAGGGUUGUAAAGCUCUUUUACCCGGGAUGAUAAUGACAGUACCGGGAGAAUAAGCUCCGGCUAACUCCGUG